GCGGUGUGUGUGUGUGUGUGUGUGUGUGCUGUGUGUGUGUGUGUGUGUGUGUGCGGUGUGUGUGUGUGCGGUGUGUGUGUGUGUGUGUGUGCGCGGUGUGUGUAAGUUUUGUGAUGCAAACUGUUGCUAAAAGCAGCGGAGGAAACAUGACAUUUCCUGUUUUGCUGAGAUGUGCAUCAACUGCCCAGUUUUGUAUCUGACUCAGAAAGGACAGGUUGGCGGUUUUCACCUCAAGUCAUAUUUGUGAGGCACAGCUGAAACUCUGGUCACAGGGACCGCAAAUAUGUUGUUCUCUAGUAUUACACCAAUAUGUAUUUGAAUGAUUUAAUUUUAGUAUUUGGAUAACUACAUCCUUCAAAUGUACUAUGUGAAUUAUAUAGAGAUAUACCAUGUUAUAUAUUUAUGGUCAGUCCUAUAGAGGAUUACCAUGUUCUAUAAUGAACUGAAAUAUAAAAUGCAACAUGCAACAAUUUCAAAGAUUUUACUGUGUUACAGUUCAUAUGAGAAAAUCUGUCAAUUGUAAUGAAUUCAUUAGGCCCUAAUCUAUGGAUUUCACAUGACUGAGAAUACAGAUAUGCAUGUGUUGGUCACAAGAUACCUUAGAAUAAAAGGUAGGGGCGUGGAUCAGAAAACCAGCCAGUAUCUGGUGUGACACAUCUCCUUCACAUGGAGGUGAUCAGGCUGUUGAUUGUGGCCUGUGAAAUGUUGUCCCACUCCACUUCAAUGGCUGUGUGAAGUUGCUGGAUUUUGGCGGGAACUGGAACACGGUCGUACACGUCAAUCCAGAGCAUCCCAAACAUGCUCAGUGGUUGACAGGUCUAGUGAAUAUACAGGCCAGUGAAGAACAGACAUUUUCUGCUUCCAGGAAUUGUGUACAGAUCUUUGCGACAUGUGGUUGUGCAUCAUCAUGCUGAAACAUGAGGUGAUGGUGGCAGAUGAAUGGCACAAUAAUGGGUCUCAGGAUCUGGUCACGGUAUCUCUGGGCAUUCAAAUUAGCAUAGAUAAAAGGCAAUUGUGUUCCUUGUCUGUAGCUUAUGACGGUUCAUACCAUAACCUCACCGCCACCAUGGGGCGCUCUGUUCACAGCGUUGACAUCAGCAAACCGCUUGCCCACAUGACGCCGUACACAUGGUCUACGGUUGUCCUGGGUUGUCGUGGUUACACGUGGUCUACGGUUGUCCUGGGUUGUCGUGGUUACACGUGGUCUACGGUUAUCCUGGGUUGUCGUGGUUACACGUGGUCUACAGUUGUGAGGCUGGUUGGACGUACUGACAAAUUCUCUAAAACAACGGAGGUGGCUUAUGGUAGAGAAAUUAACAUAAAAUUCUAUGGUAACAGCGUUGG
ensembl:lncRNA